rnacentral:rRNA from 1 species
UACGGGGGGAGCAAGCGUUGUUCGGAUUUACUGGGCGUAAAGGGCGCGUAGGCGGCCAGCGCAAGUCAGUUGUGAAAUCUCCGGGCUUAACUCGGAACGGUCAACUGAUACUGCGCGGCUAGAGUGCGGAAGGGGCAACUGGAAUUCUCGGUGUAGCGGUGAAAUGCGUAGAUAUCGAGAGGAACACCUGCGGCGAAGGCGGGUUGCUGGGCCGACACUGACGCUGAGGCGCGAAAGCCAGGGGAGCGAACGGG